rnacentral:rRNA from 1 species
UUAGAGUUUGAUCCUGGCUCAGAAUCAACGCUGNCGGCGUGCCUAACACAUGCAAGUCGAACGCGGUUACCCCGCAAGGGGUAACUGAGUGGCGAACGGGUGAGUAACACGUGGGUGACCUACCUUCGAGUGGGGGAUAACGUCCCGAAAGGGACGCUAAUACCGCAUAACAUCCUGUCCUUGAACGGAUGGAGAUCAAAGCCGGGGAUCGCAAGACCUGGCGUUUGAAGAGGGGCCCGCGUCUGAUUAGCUAGUUGGUGGGGUACCGGCUCACCAAGGCGACGAUCAGUAUCCGGCCUGAGAGGGCGGACGGACACACUGGGACUGAGACACGGCCCAGACUCCUACGGGAGGCAGCAGUGGGGAAUUGUUCGCAAUGGGCGCAAGCCUGACGACGCAACGCCGCGUGGAGGAUGAAGGUCUUCGGAUUGUAAACUCCUGUUGCUCGGGACGAAAAGCUUCAACCUAAU